AUGUCCAAUCUAUGUCUAGGGAUCUGUUAUUGCAGAAUUUAAUAUGAAUUGCAUUGUUCUGUAUUAAGCUGUAGGCCAUUGGGCAAUAAUGUUGGUUGCCAUCAACCAUGUUGAAUUCCAUUCGUUAUUUUCCUCUAUCAGUGAGUGGACAAUGUUGUUAAUCUGGUUGUAUAUAUAUCCAAUUUUUUGCAAAAUAAUGAACAUAUGUAAUUUUUCAUCCGGA